GAGGUAAUGGCUCACCAAGGCGACGACGGGUAGCCGGCCUGAGAGGGCGACCGGCCACACUGGGACUGAGACACGGCCCAGACUCCUACGGGAGGCAGCAGUGGGGAAUAUUGGGCAAUGGAGGAAACUCUGACCCAGCGACGCCGCGUGCGGGAUGAAGGCCUUCGGGUUGUAAACCGCUUUCGGCAAGGAAGAAGCGAAAGUGACGGUACUUGCAGAAGAAGCACCGGCUAACUAUGUGCCAGCAGCCGCGGUAAUACAUAGGGUGCAAGCGUUGUCCGGAAUUAUUGGGCGUAAAGAGCUCGUAGGUGGUUCGUCACGUCGGAUGUGAAAAUCUGGGGCUUAACCCCAGACCUGCAUUCGAUACGGGCGAGCUAGAGUGUGGUAGGGGAGACUGGUAUUCCUGGUGUAGCGGUGGAAUGCGCAGAUAUCAGGAGGAACACCAAUGGCGAAGGCAGGUCUCUGGGCCAUUACUGACACUGAGGAGCGAAAGCGUGGGGAGCGAACAGGAUUAGAUACCCUGGUAGUCCACGCCGUAAACGGUGGGCACUAGUUGUGGGAAUCUUCCACGGUUUCUGCGACGCAGCUAACGCAUUAAGUGCCCCGCCUGGGGAG
rnacentral:rRNA from 1 species